UACAGAGGUCUCAAGCGUUGUUCGGAAUCACUGGGCGUAAAGGGUGCGUAGGUGGCGUGGAAAGUCAGAUGUGAAAUCCCGGGGCUCAACCUCCGAAUUGCAUCCGAUACUCCCAUGCUAGAGUACUGGAGGGGAGUCUGGAAUUCUCGGUGUAGCAGUGAAAUGCGUAGAUAUCGAGAGGAACACCAGUGGCGAAGGCGAGACUCUGGACAGUUACUGACACUGAUGCGCGAAGGCGAGGGUAGCGAACGGG
rnacentral:rRNA from 1 species